UUAUGGCCAUAUCAUGUUGGAAAACUGGUUCUCAUACAAUCACCAAAGUUAAGCAACAUCAAGCCAGGUCAGUACCUAGAUGGGUGGCCACUUGGGAACAACAGGUACC